CCUACGGGUGGCAGCAGUGAGGAAUAUUGGUCAAUGGGCGAGAUCCUGAACCAGCCAAGUCGCGUGAGGGAUGACUGCCCUAUGGGUUGUAAACCUCUUUUGUCGAAGAACAAACCCCGGGACGUGUCCCUUUCUGCAUGUACCCUAUGAAUAAGCAUCGGCUAACUCCGUGCCAGCAGCCGCGGUAAUACGGAGGAUCCGAGCGUUAUCCGGAUUUAUUGGGUUUAAAGGGUGCGUAGACGGUGCGUUAAGUCAGUGGUAAAAUUGCGGGGCUCAACCCCGGCGAGCCGUUGAAACUGGCAGACUUGAGUGGGCGAGAAGUAGGCGGAAUGCGUGGUGUAGCGGUGAAAUGCAUAGAUAUCGCGCAGAACUCCGAUUGCGAAGGCAGCGUACCGGAGCAAGACUGACGCUGAGGCACGAAAGCGUGGGGAUCGAACAGGAUUAGAUACCCCUGUAGUC
rnacentral:rRNA from 1 species